rnacentral:rRNA from 1 species
UAGGGAAUCUUCGGCAAUGGACGCAAGCCUGAUCGAGCAACGCCGCGUGAGUGAAGAAGGUUUUCGGGUCGUAAAACUCUGUUGUUAGAGAAGAACAAGGACGUUAGUAACUGAACGUCCCCUGACGGUAUCUAACCAGAAAGCCACGGCUAACUACGUGCCAGCAGCCGCGGUAAUACGUAGGUGGCAAGCGUUGUCCGGAAUUAUUGGGCGUAAAGCGAGCGCAGGCGGUUGCUUAAGUCAGAUGUGAAAGCCCCCGGCUCAACCGGGGAGGGUCAGUGGAAACUGGGAGACUUGAGUGCAGAAGAGGGGGGUGGAAUUCCGUGUGUAGCGGUGAAAUGCGUAGAUAUAUGGAGGAACACCGGUGGCGAAGGCGGCUCUCUGGUCUGUAACUGACGCUGAGGCACGAAAGCGUGGGGAGCAAACAGG